ACACACUGCAGUCGAACGGCGCACACUAAGAGCUUGCUCUUAUGGGUGGCGAGUGGCGGACGGGUGAGGAAUACAUCGGAAUCUACCUUUUCGUGGGGGAUAACGUAGGGAAACUUACGCUAAUACCGCAUACGACCUUCGGGUGAAAGCAGGGGACCUUCGGGCCUUGCGCGGAUAGAUGAGCCGAUGUCGGAUUAGCUAGUUGGCGGGGUAAAGGCCCACCAAGGCGACGAUCCGUAGCUGGUCUGAGAGGAUGAUCAGCCACACUGGAACUGAGACACGGUCCAGACUCCUACGGGAGGCAGCAGUGGGGAAUAUUGGACAAUGGGCGCAAGCCUGAUCCAGCCAUACCGCGUGGGUGAAGAAGGCCUUCGGGUUGUAAAGCCCUUUUGUUGGGAAAGAAAAGCAGUCGGCUAAUACCCGGUUGUUCUGACGGUACCCAAAGAAUAAGCACCGGCUAACUUCGUGCCAGCAGCCGCGGUAAUACGAAGGGUGCAAGCGUUACUCGGAAUUACUGGGCGUAAAGCGUGCGUAGGUGGUUGUUUAAGUCUGUUGUGAAAGCCCUGGGCUCAACCUGGGAAUUGCAGUGGAUACUGCCCC
rnacentral:rRNA from 1 species